rnacentral:lncRNA from 1 species
AUGAUCGCCCUCUGCGUCCACUCGUGGUCCCCCUCUGCGUUCACCCGUGGUCUCCCUCUGUGUUCACUCGUGGUCGCCCUCUGUGUUCACUCGUGGUGCCCUCUGCGUUCACUCGUGGUCUCCCUCUGCGUCCACUCAUGGUGGCCCUCUGCGUUCACUCGUGGUCUCCCUCUGCAUUCACUCGUGGUCUCCCUCUGCGUUCACUCGUGGUCUCCCUCUGUGUUCACUCGUGGUGCCCUCUGUGUUCACUCGUGGUCUCCCUCUGCGUUCACUCAUGGUCUCCAUCUGCGUUCACUCAUGGUCUCCCUCUGUGUUCACUCGUGGUCUCCCUCUGUGUUCACUCGUGGUCUCCCUCUGUGUUCACUCAUGGUGCCCUCUGUGUUCACUCGUGGUUUCCCUCUGCGUUCACUCAUGGUCUCCCUCUGUGUUCACUCAUGGUCUCCCUCUGUGUUCACUCGUGGUCUCCCUCUGUGUUCACUCGUGGUCUCCCUCUGUGUUCACUCAUGGUCUCCCUCUGCGUUCACUCAUGGUGCCCUCUGCAUUCACUCACGGUGGCCCUCUGUGUUCACUCGUAAUAAACUCGCUUUGCCCCUUCCCGGGCUCCUUGCUUGCAGUAAGGCAGCAAGUGCCAGGAGGAAAGAUAACAAGGUCUGA